GCUUCUCAUUUUUCCAAUGAUAAUAGUGAGAAACUAUUAUAGUAAAAACUUAAAUUCUCAGUUGACUACAUGGCUUCAGGUGGUGAUGGCUUUAAAAGAAAAAAAAUGUGACAAGAUUCUAGAUCAUGUGUUGAGAGAAAUAUAUGAAUGUGAAUCUGAAGUUAAUCUAUAGCAGGAAAUAUAAAUUAUUUAUAAAAAUCUAAAUUUAUAAAUAUCUAAAAGAAUACAGCAAAUCUUAACAUCUUAUUCCUUUAGAGUGCCACAAAAUUAUACUUGCAUGAAGCCAUUAACCCCAAAAGAGUUCUGAUUACAUGAAAGACUGAGAAUCUGUCAUGUGCCUACUCUCAAUGUAGGUCAGUGUACAGACAGAGCAAAACAGAAAGGAACUUGAGGGAAGAUAUCAACCCCACCUAGAGAAACUCUUGUUUGAGGUUCUUCUGUAAUUUAGAUGAUGUCUUAAGUUAAAACUGGAAAUGACAAGAUGGCCACAUGAGCAGUGACCACAUAGGGAAAGGUGCACAUUGGAAUGACUGCACUGAAUUUAAGGAAUUGAAAUUUCUUAAACUGCAAAAGCUCAGAACAGGGUGUCACACUUGUGUUUAUCCAUCCAUCUUGGAGGAACAAUUAUUACACAGGCAGGCUAAAUCAUGGUCAUAGCACACACAAAUUAGGCAAGGAAAACUGGGAAGAAGAGCAUAUUAGGAACAACUGAUCUCUUUUACGCUUCUGAUGGCCUGCUCACUCAUAACCGAAUCAUACAUUUUAAAUAUUCUUUGGACACAGAAAUACAUUAAAUAUACCAUUUAUGAAAAAGAUACAGAUAAAUGGAAAGGAUUCAGAGGAGCCUAGGGACAACAACAGCCUUAGAAAGCACGGUUUGUGAAAGAGGUGUGAGGAGGUUUAUUUAGCCUAGAAAAGGGAAGCUAUUCCAUUUCACAUCACAGCUAAGCCAGUCCAACCACUGUCACUCCCUAGGGCUUAAUCCAGUAAACUAAAUCACCAGGGAAAAUAUUUUAUUAUUUAUUUGAAUGUUUCUCUAAUUUAUCCUCUGAACUGUUUCAUCACAAUCACAUGAGGGCUGGCUGAAUGGGGAAAUAAUGUAGGGUGGUUCAUUUUGCAGCAUCUGACCUUCAGAUUGGCAUAGCUUUAAUGUGGAAGUGUAUUUCUGUACACAGUACAGAAAAACAAUUGUAUAUUUUAGAAGUGAGGGUGUUAAGCUACUUUGGUCUAUCUGCUGAGAAAUUAAAAAAGAAAAGGAAUCUGUUAAAUAGUUAUCAGAUUCUUGACUGAUGUGAUAAAACCCCUUUAUAACAGGAAGGGUAUUAAAAUAUUCUACAUAAGAAUAUUGUGGAAUUUCCUUCACUGGAACAAUUACCAAUGUAUUAAUGAUUAGUUCAUGAACCAUGAUUUAAUUCAUGAACCCUAUCUGCCAGGAUUAGUUCAAGGCUUCUUAUCUUGCCUUGGGGCAGAUGGGGAUUUUGAGAAUGAUCUCUUGAGAUUCAUUCUAUCCCUCCUUUUUUCUGACUUUGGGAUUUGCCAAGUUCACCCAUCCUGUCUGAGUUAGCUCUAACUGAACUCAAUAGCACUUGGAAAAAUGGUUUUAACAGAACAGUGCCAGAUUCUAAUAUUGCUGUUUGACUUAUAUUUUGUUGAGGAAAAGAGAAGUAUCUGUGAAUAUGCUGUUUAUGGACACAUUACCAAACAGACUGCUCAUGAUCUGCUUUGCAUUGUGGAAAAUUUCCUAGGCUGGCAUAGCUGGUCUCUAAAUACACCAUGAAAAUAGGAACAAGCCACACAUCAGAGGUGAUUUCCAGGUUAAAGGUUUGUCCUGCAAAUGGGGUUGCAGCACCUGCAAAUACCUGCUGAAGCAUCAUGGAAAUCCAGUUGCAAAUAGGGGAAGUAGGGUCACCAAAAGGGAAAUGUGUAUGCUGAGACAUACAAUUUCUUUAAUAUAUCAGAAGAAAAGUAUAGAAAACGGUAAGGUUUUGUUGAAAUAUAACUGGUGUUCACAUUUAAAAUACAGUAAUGCAGAAAUGGGAAACUGGAGAUCAAAUGAGGAAGAGAGGUGCUGUAUUAGGGACCUUCUUUUUUUUCCCUUUGGAAAACUUUUCCAGAAAUGACACGCUGCAGGAUCAAUACACACAGAUUUGGAAAAUACCGAAAUGCACUUAACCUUCUGUCUCCCCAGACUCAGUAAAUGUCAUUAUUAAUGUUCUCUAACAAAGUGUUUUGUGGACAAAAUAAACACCGCAGCUUUCUUAUAUAAAAUUCUCUACUCACUUUACUGCAAGUAAGUUCCGGGAAAAGUCUUGUAGGUAGCACAAAAAAGGAAAAAUUAGAAGCAUUUAUUAAGAAAAUAUAACAAUGACUUUAAUUAAGAAAAGCUUGUUAUUUAAAGAAUGAGAAAAAACUAGCUUGAAUGUAGCAAGUGGAUCCAUCUAGACUUUCUGAGGGAGGGAUCAAGCUAAGUGUGCUUUACAAAGUAUCUCUUCAAGUCUUUGGAAGUCCUGUCAAAUGGAGAGGAUCGAUACUAAUGUAGGGAGAGUGCAUGAACCCUUGAAAGACAUCUGAGCACAGGAGCUGCUGUGUAAUCAUGCCCACCCUGCAGAGCUGGGCAGCCUCACAUGGGAACCACCACUCUGGGACAUUAAGCUGCCAUCCACGGUUUGAGGAGCAGGCAGCUUUCUUCUUUGACAAGCUUUGCAGCCUUUGAAGCUGGAAUCUGCUUGUUCUAAAGGGACUGAUUAAAGAGGGAGAGGAAGCUUCAAAAGACCUCACUGCCUCUGUGAGCUAACUAGUCAGAAGGCUGCACUGCCAACCUCUUGUGACAUGUACCAUAGUUUAUUUCUUAACUUGUUCUUCAUUCUGCCCUUUAACAUUAGCAUCUUCUUUCCAUUGGUAUAUGAGAACACUGAAGCUUGCAGAAAUAUCAUAAAAUGAACAGUUUCUCUACUUCAGAUGGGACUCCCCCAUAUUUUUCCCCGCUGGGCUUCAUGUAUUUUUUGUUUGGAAGUUUUGUUGUGAUCCUGAUUCAGCACUGAUACCUGGCUGUGAGUACUAAAAGAAUAAUUCAGUGGGAAGGGCAGUAAUAACUGACACAUGGAAUAGGAAAGAACAAAAUAUGGUUAACAGUUGGACUCAAUCAUGAUCUAAUAACUAUUCUGUGAUUCUCUGAAAAUGCUAACAAAAUUGUGAAGAUGGGUCUGGAAUUCCUCCAGAACUCUGCAUUUAUGUGUUCAUUUAAUUUAAUUUCACUCAUGGAAUGCUGAUCUGUGCUAAUACUGUCAGUUUACCCCAUUGCUAGAUGCAGCCCAUUUCAUUCCAAAGCAGGAUGAUGGACAAAUCAUCUCACCUUUCUCAGUCCUGGCAGUGAACAUUGGGCCAGCAUAUUCUGCUUAUUUCCUUCUCCCACUUCUAUUUGCCCUUACCUUUCUCAGCUUAUUCAUCAAGACACCAGUUCUUAUGCAAGCCCUUUCUGAAAAAAGCAUUUCAUAAGACACCCGUACUAACAGGAAUAAAUUUUAGAGAUUAUCUCAGAGGGGAACUUUCAAAUGUUUCCACUUUGACUGAUACGUCUUUUCAGAGACACCAAGGGUUUCCUUUAUUUUGCUGACACUGCAUCAGAUAACUCAGAUGUCCCAUUUGAGGGAUUCAGAUUAAAAACAAAACCAGAUCCAUAUUUAUGUAAUAAAGAAGCUGACAGAAUGCUUUGGUGAUUAGGCAGACAUCUAGUUUAACACAUCUUGGAACUUUGACCUCAGUGAUUCAUAUGUCAUCCUUUCAAAUAAAAAAUCUUUAGUUCACUUAUUUUCUCAGUUUAUAGUUAUGCUUUUUAUCUUACUUCCUGUGACCUACUUCAUACUUUAUGUGAGUCCUCUUGGGAUAACAGAGACCACAGAUGACAUUUCAUUUGUUCUGCUUUUGUCUUGGUUGUUAAAAAUACAGUGGGGAAAAAAAAAAGAGGAUUAAAAAAAGGAAGGAUAAUGCCACUUGAUCACAUCACGUGGAGAAAGAACUCUGGAGGGUAAGUUCACACCACCCUGAUGAGGCAAGUCAGCACUGCCCAUAAGCAGAAGUGCCUUAGUUUGCAGGAACCUGAACAAUUAAACACUCUUCAUGAAAUGGCUUCUUCCAGCUGUGCUGCUGCAGGGCAUUAAAAACGGAGAGCAGAGACAGCACUGCCACCUGCUGCUCCUAGGGAUGUGGCUUUCAUGCUCACCAAGGGCAUCAAAGCUUUCCUUUAGAAUCCCAGAAUAUUCUGAGCUGGAAGGGACCCACAAAGAUCAAUGAGUCAAAUUCUUAAAGCUUGGAUGCUAAAACUUGCUAUGUACUGUAAAAAACAUAUUUACUGUAAAAGUAAAUGUUAAAAAAAAUAAAAUUUUACAGUUUAAAAUUGCUUACUAUAAAUACAACUUUGAUCUUUGCAAAGCAUCAGGUAAUAACAUAAGCUACCAUUAAGGUCCUGUCAACAGUUCUAAAACAAAAGCAAGCUGCCUUACCACUCUGUUUGGCAGUUUAGUUUAAUGCCAUUGUCUUUGGCUAGUUUGGUGUAGAGGGUUUAGUUAGGAAUUUACUGAAAGUGAAGGCAAUCAGCCUCUCACCAGACUAAGGCUUUAUAUUAGCAAUACUGUCCUUAAAGAACGGCAUAUGGGAAACAGACAAGAGUGAUAGUGGUGAGACUAAUGUGCAAGAAAAAGACAUUAAAAUCCUAUUGAAACACAUGACCUAAAAGUGUUUGUGCAUGUAUUUCCUCUUUUUCUGCAUCACCUCUCCUAUACAGCUGAAAUUAUUAGCCUGAGUCUCACACACCUUGUCUUUGCUAAACACUAUCAGAACUGCACCUAAAGCAACACUAUUUUACGGUCACAUUAGAAACCAUCACAACAUUUGUAGUGCUAAAAGGGUACAUUAUUGGUAAAAGAUAGUAGCUACUACAAUUGCUAUAUGGUUUUGUGGAAAUGGGGCACUGAUGUUUGUGGCUGGCACAAACUGAUUCCUGCAAAUAAAAUCACAACAGACCAGAGUAGUGAAGGAUAACUAAGAGUUACUAUAUAGUUGAUGCUAAUGGAAACUAUACUGGGAUUUUAACAGCUAGGCCAGUGACCCUGAAGAUUUUUAUCUUCUUAAUAAAGAAUUAGAUUAGAAUCUGUGAUUUAACUACUGAGGUGCAAAAGUUGCCAGAAACUGACAAAGGUGAUGAUUUUUUCUUACAACGAUGGCUAUAUAAAUUUUAAAGUAACUGUACUACUUCAGAAAUUAAAUUUCACAUCUUCCCCCAGAAAGCAUUUAGAUGAAACACAGAAGUGCAUAUGGAAAGAGAUGCAUGCUGUGCAGCCAGUAACGCAUCCUGGCAAAAGCUGCAGGGAACUGCAGCCACCAAGUUGAGAGAGGCCAAAAUUUCAACUUCUAUAUUUACAUUUGCAUAAUGAUUCCACUGGGAGUUGCUUCCUGGCUUUUGGAACACCACUUUUUUUUUUUGUGCUAGAUUCUAAAGAAAACUGCUUUUCAUAUUAAAAACAGUGCUUAGAACAUGGUGGCAUUAACACCUGCUCAUGCUUUGUCUUGCAAUGCUUUGAAUCAGGAUCAUCCUGGCUUAUCAAGUCAAGCUGUCUGACACUUCACUACCGAGGUGUAUGAGCACCACUCUGUGAGCCCAUUCUUCUUCCCUAUUAGAGUCCUUGCUCAUGAAUCAUUCAAAUCCCUCAACCUGAACCCUGCUUUACUGCUGCUUUCAGUAAUUUUUAUUUAUGCCUGGAAACUCUUUGGGAUGUCAAAAAGGAGCUGACUGAAACAAAUGCAUUCCAACAUAUUUCUUUCCUCCUGCAGUGCAAAUUCAGGCGGGUUAGCUUCUAGCACUGGCAGCUUGAACAAGAGUGAAGGAAUAUCUCCCCAGCCAGACAAGAUUCUCAAGUGAGAAUUCAAAAGACUAAGAUAGCAUUAUCUCCUGGACAGCCAGGUGCCUUUCAUUUCCCAACUGAGGUGUAUUUAACUGGGCCCUCAUUUGGAUGCAUCAAGCUUGGAGGUUUGCAAAUCAAAGCACUGUGAACAUACUCAGAGUUCUUUCUAAGGAAAACUACUAUGAACCUUAACACAAAUACCAAACCUGAUAUUCCCAGACUAGUUAGAAUGUAUAACACACAAAAUAUUACACAUACUACUAACAAUAAUAAGGAAAUCAAGAAAUCAUUGAAUAUAAUUAUGGGUUAUAUAUAUAUAGCUACUAUGAAGUUCAACCUUAGUAAAGAUGGAGAGUAGAAGUUAAAAAAAAUAUAUUUAUGGGGUAAAUUUGUACGUAUUUUCUUAUUCACACAGUGUUAGCAGACAAAACACGUUCAGGCUUGAUGUGCAUUUAACAGUGCAUUGUUUCUCUCUCUGAUACAGCAACUUGAAAGAUCACAAGCCUAACUACAGUCUUGCUAGCUCAGGUGAUAGAUGUUUGUGCUUCAGGGGUAGGGAUUAAUGCAUUAAAUUAGUUAUGCUUUCCUGGGCAGCAAUUUGCCAGAAGAAGUGUGGAUGGAUUUGUGAUUUGCAUAACAAGGUUUGAAAUAGUCACAGCUGAGGAAAAUAGAACAGAAUAUUUUCAUUGUAGGAUGGGACCCAGAAUGAUCACCUAGUCCAAGAUUUAGGCAAACAGCUCCAAUUACUGUAAGUAGAAGUUGUGUAGCUAAGACCACUAAUAAGGUUUUUGUAUUCAAACAAGAUCUUUAGAAUGCCAAAAAUUUUCUUAUGCAACCUCGUAUUUUGUGCUCUGAGUCAGCUGAAUGCCAUAUAGAAAAGAAAUUGCUUAAAUUCUACAAGAACACUCAAAAUAAGAUGUAGGUAUGGUGAAUGGAACAAACCAGGUGUAAGCUUAAUCUAGUGUGGUCUGUAAUGUUUAAAUGGCCAAUAAGCUUACUGACAAUACCUAGCUGAGAUUAGUAAACAAAAUUUUCUUUACAGAGGAAGCACAGUAUCAGCUAAACCAUUUUUGCUCAAUAUAUGAGGGAAAAAAAAAAGGUCUAGAAGAAUGAAUUACAUGAAACAGGGAGAAACGACCUGGGCAGAUGUUACAGUUGGUUUUACAGCACAGCAGGCACUGUAAUAUGUAGAGAUGAGGUUACCUUGACGUUUCCCAAUCUGUAUAUCAAAUACAUACUGCUGUAAUGUACCCAGCUCAUUUCUGAGGAGCUCCUGUGGGUAUUUAGUAUGAUUAUUCAUACUAAAUGAAGCUAAAAAUAUUUUCCCUCCAUAUAGAAGACCCUCUCCAUUCCAUUCAUCUGCUCCUGCAGUCCAUCCAACUCUUGAGCCCUGUUCUGGAUGCACAACAUAUGCAAGCUAACUUGGCACUGUUGAGAAUGUGCCCUCUUGUACCUGCAAAGAUGCCAACUCUUAGGGUCACAGCUUGCAGUAUACAAAGAGAAGACAGCCUCUUAAAAAUCUAAUUCCUAUAUUCUCAAGGGCUUGAAGACUCUCUGGGCUGCUGGAAUUAAGUGGCUGUGAUUUUCUGGAAAUCCAGGCAUUUGCUUCAUUAAAACUUCAUGAAAUCUAAACACAGUCUUUAUUCCAUGUAUCUCUUACAUGUCUCUCAAACAUUUUUUCUGUUGAUACAUUUAUUUUUAGUGAUAAUGUAUUUUCACUAAAACAUGGAUCAUACACAGAUGAUACCUUACAGGAAAUCCCUACAAAGCAGAGUACUGCUAAUCCUUCUAUGUAAACACUUGGAACAGGAGAGCACAUUUGGAAUUUUCUAGACACAUGAAUUGAAUACUAUUUUUGCUCUCCAAGAGGCCAAGAGCAAAAUACAUGCAGUGAACUUUUCUAAGAAGGAAGACAAGCUUGUUAAACUCACCUUCAAGCAAACAGCAACAGCCCUUAUUCUUUCUUUACAGGUAAGAAACAGAUGCUUUUCAUUACUUUGGGCAAUAAUAUCUCAUUAGCACGGCACAUCAGCAAGCUGGGACACAUCAGCUAUACCUGAUUAAGUUGAUUCCAGGUUUCUUCAAGCUUGGCUCAGUCCAAAGGAAAAAUCAGGUUGGUUUAUGCAGUGGAUAACAGGCAGAAGUUCUGAAAACAGUGCUAAGGAUAAGGGCUGAAGGAAAAACUGGAAAACUCAAUUUUGGCCCUAACAGAAGGUUGUCUGCUAUCUCACCCUCUAGGCAGAGAUUUUUUGGCAGUUUACAAGUGAAUAAUUUCCCCUGCCAAGUAACUGAAAUGUAUUCUCUGUGACACAUUAUUUUUCAUGGCAGGUCAGGAAGGGUAUCAGUGAAUAGGAGGUCCAGCAUCUCUUUCUGGCAUGGGUUGAACAGCUGAGAUACACUGCCUGCAGGAGCUAAGAGUAUGUAAUUACAGCCUUCACUCACAGAUGUCCUCACUGGCAUGAACUCUAGUUAUAGCCAUUGGUGACAUGUACUUUGGCAAGGUCUUGACAGAAUGGAUAUUUUCUAGGAUGUCUGAAGCAGCUAAGAGCUUGUGGAACUGCACUUCCAAUGUAGGAGGCUCGGAGGCCAAAGAAGGAGAAUCGAGUUUGAGUAGGCUAACAUUGAAGCCUUUGUCGAGAGAUGAUGAAAACUGGUGGAGAGACACUUAACUGUGAAGCACAGUGGAAAGCUGGAACCAUCUCUACUCAAAGCAUCCUUCAGGACUGAUACCCUGGGGGAACAGGGGCACACAGGGGGCUGUGAAACACUGCACAAGCCUUGUGGUGCCCCUCAUUCCUUGACAGUUUAAUACCACUCAGUAAUUUACAUGGGCUGUGAAACCAGUAGGGUUUGACACCCAUAAGGUCAGCUCUGCCAUUGGGGAUGCAAACUUGGGUCUCAGCAGAGGAAAAAACUAAACUAGUGCAAACAUGUUUUUCUCAGCGAGUCAAGCAAGGUACCUAAGGUAGUAAAAAUAAUUUACCAACUUAUCUAUAGUAGAGUGCUUGCUGUGAGCUUUCACCCCCUUUACAGAUGCUGUAAGAACCCCUGCUAAGGGUUUUGAUAUUUCUUCUAUUAAACAUACCAGGAAUUUAAAAUUGUUUUCAACAGAAAAAGGUGUAAAGAGAACAAAGCAGCACAUUCAAUUUCUGAAUCUGUUGAAAUGAAUGACUGCAUUUCAUUUGUUUAUUUUAAUCUAACUUAAAGAGUUAAUGCUGGUUAAGCACAGCUUGCAUUGGUACAUAGUGGAAGAAAACAAAAGCAAAUGCAUUAAUUACUGUUCACUGACCACAGUAAUGAUUUUAAAAAAUGCUUGAUUAGUGAACAGUAUACCUCCAAAUCACAGCUAAGGUGAAUACAAAAAUUUGAAGCACACAAUCACCAAUAUCAUUAUUAUUAUUACUAUUAUUAUUCUACCUUUGAGGGAUCACUCUGUUGAAAAUAAUUAUAUCAAUACAUUUUUAAUUCCUUUUUUUACAACACAUUUUUGUAAGAAAAGGGUGAAAGUAAGACCUUUAAAAUAAAAAAAUGUAAUUAAAAGGCAUUUUCUUUUGGCUAAGAUUCCUACUCAGGAAUGAUACCACCCUUGUGAUUAGCUGUUCAGAAGAAUAGACAGGGACAGCCCUUAACUUGCUCCUCUGAAGAUCAAUGCUCUUAUCUUUUGAUUGUACCCAAAAGCACCAAAAAAUGUGGUUUUACCUCUUUAAAGCCUAUUCUGGAGCCUGUCCAACCCUACGGGAAGGUAGGCUAGUAAGAAGAGGGAGUAGAGGUUGAUUUUUUAAUCGUAAUUAGCUAGAUAAUGUAUUGUAUUUUCCCUAUUAGGAGAGCUCUUUUGCUGAAUCCUCACACUGUUAAGUUCUAAGAGACAGCUUAAGGCUCUUGACUUACACCAAUGGUAAUGUAGAAGAUGAAUGUAGUUUCCACUUAUGUGUUUUGCAGAGGCCUGGUUGUCUUUCUGUUGUUAUGGUAGAAGCCAGGUCAGAAUCCUAUUUAUUCACAGACAGGAGAAUUGCUGAGAGAGGACAUGAAGACAUGACUGAAAUGUUUCGCAGAGAUACGGAAGAUUACUUUCAGAGAGCUCAGGCUCACAAAAAGAACUCUGAUUUAAAGCUGCUCCAUAGGGGUUAUGAGUAAUUUAGCAUAGGAGAAAAGCCUCACAUGUUGUGCAUGUAAAGUACCACUGCAUGUUAUAAAAUGACACAGCUAUCCUCUGCUCCUUUGGUAUCGAACAGGGCUGUAACUUUCUGAUAAUUAACCAAAACAGGAGAUCAAGUAUCACAUUUUCCUAGAUAUCACCUGAAAAGAAACAGCUGGGAGUAUUUCCCCAUUUGACAUAAGGUGCAUAGCCUCUUUUCUUGUAUUCUCCAAAUUCAGUGAUGCUCAGGAUAUGUGUGGAAGGUGUACCCUUCAGUGCUCUUCUUUACCAAGGCAAAAACUACCUGCAUGACCCCACGACAUUGAGAGGGUACUUUUUGUCUUCCAAUUUUCACAAAGGCGCUUGAAGGAAAUUAACACAGCUCUGACCUUCACUAAUUGCUCACUUGAUUAUGUUUCUCAGUCACACUCUAUAGCUCUGCAUUGGCCAAGGACACAGAAUACACAGCUAAUGUCUGUCCUCCUCUUCCUCCCUCUUCCCCAGACUCUGCAGAGCAGUGCCCUCACAAAAUUAUCCAAAGCAAUGUCUGUGGCACCCUGGCAGGAGGAAAGUGCAUGAGCCCUUGAUGACUUUCUGAGUUCCCUUAAGCCUGUAUUGUUCUGUGUCUUCAAUAUCUUUCAUGCUAGAAUGUGCAGAUUUUCACAGCAGCUGGAUUUCCUAGAACACGCAGUUCUGGCUAAAUGUAUUCAGCUGUACAUGCAAACACAGAGACAAAACAAUCUCUAUGAACAGAUAUUAACAGAUGUAACCUCACAGGUAACAUUCAUUACAAUUCACAUGAAAUAUUGAAAUCUAUGAAUGUAUACAUUUGUGUUCAACUAAUGAAAGCCUGUGAAACUGAGUUUGCAGAGAGAGAAUACUCUCUUUAGAAGGAGUUGAGUUCUGACAUUGGGUUGAAUAAUGCACAUUUCAAGCUUUUGGAAAUAUUACUUGGUAUCACUUGAGGGUAAUGCUGAGGCUGAUAAUGAACAAUGAUUCAGAAAUGGGAAAGAUUUCAACCUAGUAGCCAUCCAUUGACUGUCAAAGUCAAACCUAUGGAACUGCACACAUUUUGAAGAACAUAUAAGUCCCAAAAAAGUGAAGGAUUUCUGACUCUUAAGCAACAUGCUCUGCUGUGGGACUAUUGGACUCUUUUUCUUGCAUUAAAUGAGUGUAUUUGAACCUCCAGUUCAGUUUAGAUCACUAACUCCUUUUGAUGAUUUUAUGCAGAAGGCUAAAUAUUUCACUGAAUUCAGUAUUAAAAUUCAAACAACUCAGUCAUAUGCAAUUAGGUAUUUCUAAGCAAUAUUAUACCAUGUCACACAGUGAAGACUGCUAGAAGAAAUAAUAAAUACUUCAGUUCAGAACAGUGAUAAAAUAUGUUCUUGCUCUACUAAGUUUCUCACGAAGAAGCUGAAUACAUAAUAGUUUACAUCUACCGAAGAAGCACCAUUUUCUCUUUAUGUGCCUUGGGUCAUGCUGGCAAUACUUAGGAGCUCUUUGUAUUUCUUAAUUGCAAUGUGGAUUUACUCCCACUAGGUGUUACCCUUCCUCCAUUUGUGAAGGAAACUGUCCUCCCCGAAUAAACCUGGAUCAUCCGUGGAUGUACCGUCCAAAAUGCAAAAUAGGGGCCCAUCGUGAUGGAAGCAUCUUUGUAAACAUGGAAACAACAACAGCUUCUUCUGAAAAACCUCCCAUAAACAAACAAACAAAAAUUCACAACCCCUUCCCCCCCAAAUCAACAAAAUCAAUCCCCCCAAACCCAUGUAAACUUCUCAGAGUAUUAAAAGGAGAAAAACUGUUGUAUCCUGACAGGUUAAGACAGUGUCCCUGUAGCUAGUUCUGGUCAGCAGCUAAUAGCAAACAUUGACAUGUGACUGUCUUAACUGAAAGAGCUAUUGCCCUGAAAUGUCCCAGCACUGCCCAGUCAGAGAUAUUCAACUACACGUUUAUUGUCAUAAAUUCAUUAGACUAUAUUUAAUAUUUACAGCCCUUUAUGGGGGCUGUAUGUCUUACAGGAGGCAUUCUGUGGCAGCCUUUAAUGUUACAUGUACCAGUAUUUCACUGUCUCCCACACAAAAUAAGAAUAAACCACUAUGACUGUGUUACGCAACCCAGUGACUGACACAUAAGUAAAAAAUUGUUGAUAUAUUUACCCAUUGUAAUACCCACAGACGAAGUCCAAUCCUCCUCACCGAGACAAACGUUGCCAAAUGAAAAGAGAUAGGAAAUGGAGAAGAAAUUAGAUGAACAUAUUGUGAAAAGAGGAAAAAUCUGUUGACGAAAGAAGUUACAAUAACCAAAGCCUUGCAGCCAGGCAAGGCAUAAAGCAGCAGUGAGAUGCCCACAGAAUACAAUUUCUGUGAAGAGACGUAGCUUC